CAGAAACUUAAAUAGAAGUUGACGGGGCCCGCGACAAGCGGAGGAGCAUGUGGUUUAAUUCGAUGAUACGCGAGGAACCUUACCUGGGCUCGAACGUAAGAUGACUGUAGGUGAAAGCUUACAUCUCUUCGGAGCAUUUUACGAGGUGCUGCAUGGUUGUCGUCAGCUCGUGCCGUGAGGUGUCGGGUUAAGUCCCAUAACGAGCGCAACCCUACCUUUAGUUGCCAUCAGGUAAUGCUGGGGACUCUAAAGGAACUGCCUACGCAAGUAGUGAGGAAGCGGGGAUGACGUCAAAUCAGCACGGCCCUUACGUCCAGGGCUACACACGUGCUACAAUGGCCGAUACAGAGGGCAGCUACCUGGUGACAGGAUGCAAAUCUCCAAAGUCGGUCUCAGUUCGGAUCGGAGUCUGCAACCCGACUCCGUGAAGUUGGAUUCGCUAGUAAUCGCGCAUCAGCCAUGGCGCGGUGAAUACGUUCCCGGGCCUU
rnacentral:rRNA from 1 species